rnacentral:rRNA from 1 species
CCCUUAGAUGUCCUGGGCCGCACGCGCGCUACACUGAUGCAUUCAACGAGUAAUUAUUCCUUGGCCGAGAGGCCUGGGUAAUCUUUUAAACGUGCAUCGUGAUAGGGAUAGAUUAUUGCAAUUAUUAAUCUUGAACGAGGAAUUCCUAGUAAACGCAGAUCAUCAAUCUGCAUUGAUUACGUCCCUGCCCUUUGUACACACCGCCCGUCGCUCCUACCGAUUUUGAGUGGUCCGGUGAACCUUCUGGAUUGUGCGGCUUGCCGCGCGAGAAGUUAUGUAAACCUUAUCACUUAGAGGAAGGAGAAGUCGUAACA